UACGGGGGGGAGUAAGCGUUGUUCGGAAUUACUGGGCGUAAAGGGCUCGUAGGCGGCCAACUAAGUCAGACGUGAAAUCCCUCAGCUUAACUGGGGAACUGCGUCCGAUACUGGAUGGCUUGGAUUUGGGAGAGGGAUGCGGAAUUCCAGGUGUAGCGGUGAAAUGCGUAGAUAUCUGGAGGAACACCGGUGGCGAAGGCGGCAUCCUGGACCAAUAUUGACGCUGAGGAGCGAAAGCUAGGGGAGCAAACGGG
rnacentral:rRNA from 1 species